ensembl:misc_RNA Metazoa_SRP Metazoan signal recognition particle RNA
GCCGGGCGUGAUGACGCAUGCCUGUAGUCCCAGCUACCUGGGAGGCUGAGGCAGGAGAAUCGCUUGAACCCAGGAGAUGGAGGUUGCAGUGAGCCAAGAUUGCGCUAUUGCACUCCAGCCUGGGCAAACAAGAGAAGAUGAAAAUACAGACGUUCAGGUAGGGUGUCCCAAAGUUCAGGUGUUGUCAAGUGUUAUUUUUUUUGCGAUGGAGUCUCACUCUGUGGCCCAGGCUGGAGUGCAGUGGUGCGAUCUUGGCUCACUGAAACCUCCGCCUCCUGGGUUCAAGAGAUUCUCCUGCCUCAG